UGCAGUCGAACGCUGAAGCUUGGUGCUUGCACUGGGUGGAUGAGUGGCGAACGGGUGAGUAAUACGUGAGUAACCUGCCCUUGACUCUGGGAUAAGCCUGGGAAACUGGGUCUAAUACUGGAUACGACAUGUCACCGCAUGGUGGUGUGUGGAAAGGGUUUUACUGGUUUUGGAUGGGCUCACGGCCUAUCAGCUUGUUGGUGGGGUAAUGGCUCACCAAGGCGACGACGGGUAGCCGGCCUGAGAGGGUGACCGGCCACACUGGGACUGAGACACGGCCCAGACUCCUACGGGAGGCAGCAGUGGGGAAUAUUGCACAAUGGGCGAAAGCCUGAUGCAGCGACGCCGCGUGAGGGAUGACGGCCUUCGGGUUGUAAACCUCUUUCAGCACGGAAGAAGCGAAAGUGACGGUACGUGCAGAAGAAGCGCCGGCUAACUACGUGCCAGCAGCCGCGGUAAUACGUAGGGCGCAAGCGUUGUCCGGAAUUAUUGGGCGUAAAGAGCUCGUAGGCGGUUUGUCGCGUCUGCUGUGAAAGCCCGGGGCUUAACCCCGGGUGUGCAGUGGGUACGGGCAGACUUGAGUGCAGUAGGGGAGACUGGAAUUCCUGGUGUAGCGGUGAAAUGCGCAGAUAUCAGGAGGAACACCGAUGGCGAAGGCAGGUCUCUGGGCUGUUACUGACGCUGAGGAGCGAAAGCAUGGGGAGCG
rnacentral:rRNA from 1 species